rnacentral:rRNA from 1 species
CAGCAGCCGCGGUAAUACGAAGGGGGCUAGCGUUGCUCGGAAUGACUGGGCGUAAAGGGCGCGUAGGCGGUUUGAUCAGUCAGGCGUGAAAUUCCUGGGCUUAACCUGGGGGCUGCGCUUGAUACGGUCGAGCUAGAGGAUGGAAGAGGCUCGUGGAAUUCCCAGUGUAGAGGUGAAAUUCGUAGAUAUUGGGAAGAACACCGGUGGCGAAGGCGGCGAGCUGGUCCAUUACUGACGCUGAGGCGCGAAAGCGUGGGGAGCAAACAGGAUUAGAUACCCCAGUAGUCCCUGUCUCUUAUAC